GCCUUCGUGGUGUACUGGUCAGCAUGCUCGACGCGUAACCGAGAGGUCCGUGGUUCGAUUCCCGGCGAAGGCA
rnacentral:tRNA from 1 species